AACGCACAUUGCGCCCCCUGGCAUUCCGGGGGGCAUGCCUGUCCGAGCGUCAUUGCUGCCCUCAAGCACGGCUUGUGUGUUGGGCGGCCGUCCCCCAUCUGUCGGGGGACGGGCCCGAAAGGCAGCGGCGGCACCGCGUCCGGUCCUCGAGCGUAUGGGGCUUCGUCACCCGCUCCGCAGGCCCGGCCGGCGCCUGCCGACGACUAUCAAUCUCUUCUCCAGGUUGACCUCGGAUCAGGUAGGGAUACCCGCUGAACUUAA
rnacentral:misc_RNA from 1 species